CAGUAGCCACGGUAAUACAGAGGAUGCAAGCGUUAUCCGGAAUGAUUGGGCGUAAAGCGUCUGUAGGUGGCUUUUCAAGUCCGCCGUCAAAUCCCAGGGCUCAACCCUGGACAGGCGGUGGAAACUACCAAGCUGGAGUAUGGUAGGGGCAGAGAGAAUUUCCGGUGGAGCGGUGAGAUGCGUUGAGAUCGGAAAGAACACCAACGGCGAAAGCACUCUGCUGGGCCGACACUGACACUGAGAGACGAAAGCUAGGGGAGCAAAUGGGAUUAGAUACCCGUGUAGUCCCUGUCUCUUAUAC
rnacentral:rRNA from 1 species